rnacentral:rRNA from 1 species
UCAAGCUAUAAAGAGCGUAGGGAGAAUGACUUGGCAUCAGGAGCCGAAGAAGGACGUGACAAGCUGCGAAAAGCUGCGGUUAGGAGCAAAUAUCCAUAGACCCGCAGAUAUCCGAAUGGGGAAACCCGGUACGGCAAUACCGUAUCACUGCAUGGUAAAUACAUAGCCAUGUGGAGGAAACCCUCUGAACUGAAACAUCUAAGUAGGAGGAGGAAAAGAAAGAAACAUCGAUUUCCAAAGUAGCGGCGAGCGAAAUGGAAGAAGCCCAAACCGAUAUUGUUACGGCAAUAUCGGGGUUGUAGGACUGCAAUAUUCAAUUAACAAUGAACUGGAAUGGUCUGGAAAGUCCAUCCAUAGAGAGUGAAAGGCUCGUACAGGUAAGUUUGUUAUGCGAAAGCAGUAUCCUGAGUAUGGCGGGACACGAGGAAUCCUGUCAGAAUCAGCCGGGACCACCCGGUAAGGCUAAAUACUCCCAAGAGACCGAUAGUGGACCAGUACUGUGAAGGAAAGGUGAAAAGAACCCCGAACAGGGGAGUGAAAUAGAACCUGAAACCAUACGCUUACAACCGGUCGGAGCAGCUUCGUGCUGUGACGGCGUGCCUAUUGAAUAAUGAGCCUACGAGUUACUAAUCACUGGCAAGGUUAAGUGCACGGAUGCACGGAGCCGAAGCGAAAGCGAGUCUGAAUAGGGCGUUUAGUCAGUGGUUGUAGACGCGAAACCUUGCGAUCUACCCUUGAGCAGGUUGAAGGUUGGGUAAAACCAACUGGAGGACCGAACGAAUAAGCGUUGAAAAGCUUCUCGAUGACUUGAGGGUAGGGGUGAAAGGCUAAUCAAGCUGGGAAAUAGCUCGUACUCCCCGAAAUGCCUUUAGGGGCAGCGUUGUAAUUAAGAGUCUACUGGAGGUAGAGCUACUGAUUGGAUGCGGGGGCUUCACCGCCUACCAAAUCCUGACAAACUCCGAAUGCCAGUAGUAUGAUUUACAGCAGUGAGUGACUGGGUGCUAAUGUCCAGUCGCAAAAGAGGAACAACUCAGACCAGCAACUAAGGUCCCGAAGAAUAUGCUAAGUUGAUCUAACGAUGUUUUGUUGCAGAGACAGCUAGGAUGUUAGCUUGGAAGCAGCUAUUCAUUCAAAGAGUGCGUAACAGCUCACUAGUCGAGCGACAGAGCGUGGAUAAUAAACGGGCAUCAAGCAUAUCACCGAAGUUCUGGGCGCGAGAGCGCGGUAGGGGAGCAUUCCAUUCAGCGUCGAAGCAGUUUCGUGAGGAAUUGUGGAGCGUAUGGAAAAGCAAAUGUAGGCAUGAGUAACGAUAAUGCGGGAGAGUAACCCGCACACCGCAAGACCAAGGUUUCCUGAUCAACGCUAAUCGGAUCAGGGUUAGUCGGGUCCUAAGGGUAAGCCGAACGGCGAUCUCGAUGGAUAAUCGGUUAAUAUUCCGAUACUAACAUAUACCUCGAUGGAGAGACGAAGGAACGUAAGUGCCGCCACCUGACGGAAUAGGUGGUUAAAGGGCGUAGGUAUAGGGGCAGAUUAAGAGUUAGUCCUUGCUGAAACCUGACAGUACAGAGAGCCUACGGGCAAUUUGAUAGAGCACCCAAGUCGACUUCCGAGAAAAUCUUCUAAGUUAUAGUAUAUGUUACCCGUACCGUAAACCGACACAGGUGGUCGAGGAGAGUAUCCUAAGGUGCUCGAGUGAAUCACGGUUAAGGAACUAGGCAAAUUAACCCCGUAACUUCGGGAAAAGGGGUCCCUAUGAAAGUAGGGCGCAGCGAAGAGGUCCAGGCGACUGUUUAUCAAAAACACAGGGCUCUGCAAAUUCGAAAGAAGACGUAUAGGGCCUGACACCUGCCCGGUGCUGGAAGGUUAAGAGGGGAUGUCAUCGCAAGAGAAGCAUUGAAUCGAAGCCCCAGUAAACGGCGGCCGUAACUAUAACGGUCCUAAGGUAGCGAAAUUCCUUGUCGGGUAAGUUCCGACCUGCACGAAUGGUGUAACGAUCUGGACACUGUCUCAACCGUGAGCUCGGUGAAAUUGUAGUCCCGGUGAUGAUGCCGGGUACCCGCAACGGGACGAAAAGACCCCGUGAACCUUUACUAUAGCUUAACGCUGAAUUUGGGUACACAAUGUGUAGGAUAGGCCGGAGGCUUUGAAGCGGGCACGCCAGUGUUCGUGGAGCCGACGUUGAAAUACGGCCCUUUGUGUAUUUGAGUUCUAACCCUGCGAAGGGGACACCGUUUGGUGGGUAGUUUGACUGGGGUGGUCGCCUCCAAAAGCGUAACGGAGGCUUCCCAAGGUACCCUCAGCACGAAUGGUAACCGUGCGCGGAGUGCAAUAGCAUAAGGGUGCUUGACUGUGAGACAUACAAGUCGACCAGGUACGAAAGUAGGGUAUAGUGAUCCGGUGGUUCUGCGUGGACUGGCCAUCGCUCAAAGGAUAAAAGGUACUCCGGGGAUAACAGGCUGAUCGCCGCCAAGAGCUCAUAUCGACGCGGCGGUUUGGCACCUCGAUGUCGGCUCGUCACAUCCUGGGGCUGGAGAAGGUCCCAAGGGUUCGGCUGUUCGCCGAUUAAAGUGGCACGCGAGCUGGGUUCAGAACGUCGUGAGACAGUUCGGUCUCUAUCUGUUGCGGGCGUAGGAAGAUUGAGGGGUCCUGACUUUAGUACGAGAGGACCGAGUUGGACGAACCUCCGGUGUAUCGGUUAUGCUGCCAAGUGUACUGCCGAGUAGCCGCGUUCGGUCUGGAUAAGCGCUGAAAGCAUCUAAGCGCGAAGCCAUCCCCAAGAUAAGUCUUCCCUUGAGGGGCGUAGGAGACUACUACGUUGAUAGGCUGCAGGUGUAAAGACAGCAAUGUCAAAGCCGAGCAGUACUAAUUACCCGAUAGGCUUUCUUUUU